AAACCAACAGGGAUUGCCUCAGUAACGGCGAGUGAAGCGGCAACAGCUCAAAUUUGAAAUCUGGCCUCUUCGGGGUCCGAGUUGUAAUUUGUAGAGGAUGUUUCGGGUACCGCCCCGGUCUAAAUUUCUUGGAACAGAAUGUCAAAGAGGGUGAGAGUCCCGUCUUGGACCGGCGGUAGGGCCCAUGUGAAACUCCUUCGACGAGUCGAGUUGUUUGGGAAUGCAGCUCAAAAUGGGUGGUAAAUUUCAUCUAAAGCUAAAUAUUGGCCAGAGACCGAUAGCGCACAAGUAGAGUGAUCGAAAGAUGAAAAGAACUUUGAAAAGAGAGUUAAACAGUAUGUGAAAUUGUUGAAAGGGAAGCGCUUGCAACCAGACUUGAGCGCGGCGGUUCCCCCUUCCUUCUGGUUGGGUUACUCCGCCGUGUCCAGGCCAACAUCGGUUCUGGGGGUCGGUCAAAGGCUUGGGGAAUGUAUCUACUCCUCCGGGGGUAGACUUAUAGCCCCAGGUGUCAUGCGACCUCCCGGGACCGAGGAACGCGCUUCGGCUCGGAUGUUGGCGUAAUGGUUGUCAGCGAC
rnacentral:rRNA from 1 species